AGAGAGUUGGUCUUUGCUUAGAUCUGACUUCCAAAUACAUCACUUUUCCUUUUCCCAGAGAUCCAACUGAUGCAGAGGGAAACUGGGGAGUAUGCAGGGAGGGACCCAGUGGAUCUGAGCUGGAGAAGCAUGAACAUUUGCCAGCAGAGGAGUGCUCCUCUACUGAGAGGCUGUGAUUCGCGGUCUUUGCCAAAUUUGGUGCAGAAGCUAAUAGUACAUUUCCAUACUGGAUUUCCAAGCAGAAUGUUCAUAUCUUUUUCUGUACGUAGACUGACUCAGCCUUGCCACAAUUUUGUGGGCGAAGUGGUUUCAGCACCUCCGUCAUUGUCCAAGACGUUUCAAGAAAGCCAAAAGAAGUUGAGAAGCUCAUUGUCAUAAUCUCUGUUGAUCAGGAAAUGUAGAAAUCAAAGAGGAUUAC
rnacentral:lncRNA from 1 species